AAGCGAGGCUGUGAAGCGGAGCAAAUCUCAAAAACCGGUCCCAGUUCGGAUUGUAGGCUGCAACUCGCCUACAUGAAGUCGGAGUUGCUAGUAAUCGCGGAUCAGAAUGCCGCGGUGAAUGCGUUCCCGGGUCUUGUACACACCGCCCGUCACACCAUGGAAGUUGGGGGCGCCCGAAGUUGCCUAAGAAAUAAGGUACCUAAGGCGAAACCAAUGACUGGGGUGAAGUCGUAACAAGGUAGC
rnacentral:rRNA from 1 species